rnacentral:rRNA from 1 species
UACGGAGGGAGCUAGCGUUGUUCGGAAUUACUGGGCGUAAAGCGCACGUAGGCGGCUUUGUAAGUUAGAGGUGAAAGCCCGGGGCUCAACUCCGGAAACCUGGCCUUUAAGACUGCAUUCGCUUGAAUCCAGGAGAGGUGAGUGGAAUUCCGGAGUGUAGAGGUGAAAUUCGUAGAUAUUCGACAAGAACACCAGUGGCGAAGGCGGCUCACUGGCCCGGGUACUGACGCUGAGGUGCGAAAGCGUGGGGAGCAAACAGG